rnacentral:tRNA from 1 species
CAGGAAAUAGUUUAUUUUAAAAUUUUAAUUUUGGAGAUUAAAGAUGGACUUACCCUUUCCUGA